GACCGCAAGGCCUUGCGCGAACGGAGCGGCCGAUGGCAGAUUAGGUAGUUGGUGGGAUAAAAGCUUACCAAGCCGACGAUCUGUAGCUGGUCUGAGAGGACGACCAGCCACACUGGGACUGAGACACGGCCCAGACUCCUACGGGAGGCAGCAGUGGGGAAUUUUGGACAAUGGGCGAAAGCCUGAUCCAGCCAUGCCGCGUGCAGGAUGAAGGCCUUCGGGUUGUAAACUGCUUUUGUACGGAACGAAAAGACUCUGGUUAAUACCUGGGGUCCAUGACGGUACCGUAAGAAUAAGCACCGGCUAACUACGUGCCAGCAGCCGCGGUAAUACGUAGGGUGCAAGCGUUAAUCGGAAUUACUGGGCGUAAAGCGUGCGCAGGCGGUUAUAUAAAACAAAUGUGAAAUCCCCGGGCUCAACCUGGGAACUGCAUUUGUG
rnacentral:rRNA from 1 species